rnacentral:rRNA from 1 species
UGCGUAGGUGGUUUCUUAAGUCAGAGGUGAAAGGCUACGGCUCAACCGUAGUAAGCCUUUGAAACUGAGAGACUUGAGUGCAGGAGAGGAGAGUAGAAUUCCUAGUGUAGCGGUGAAAUGCGUAGAUAUUAGGAGGAAUACCAGUUGCGAAGGCGGCUCUCUGGACUGUAACUGACACUGAGGCACGAAAGCGUGGGGAGCAAACA